CGUGUGCAAGAGUCAAUGGAACCCGUUCUGAGACCUCCUGGACUGAAGCAGAAGUCACAGUCCGUCGAUAUUGCCACUCAAGGAUUCUCUCCGACCCUGGUGCCAGCCUCACCCCCCAACAAGGCUUCACCAACUGUUGCCAAGACAACAGCCGUCCUGGCCGUGCAGGAGAACAACACCAACAACUCCCAGCGCCGCAGCCCCCGGUGUGGGGAGCUGAAGAGGGGCUACACCAUAGAUACCGGCCAGAAGAAGACUCCAGAGAAGAAGGAUGGGAGGCGUAUGUCGUUCCAGAGACCCAAAGGGUCCAUUGAAUAUUCUGUGGAAUCGCAGGACACGUUGAACAGCAUUUCGCUCAAGUUUGACACCACACCCAACGAACUCGUCCAGCUGAACAAGCUGUUCUCCAGAGCAGUGGUGCCUGGCCAGGUUCUGUACGUUCCUGAUCCCGAGUACGUCUCCAGUGUCGGAAGCUCCCCCUCCCUCAGUCCCAUCAGCCCCCUGUCUCCCACCUCCUCAGAAGCUGAUUUAGAGAAAGUGACGGAUUCCGAUGGCCCCCCCAGACCAGAUGCCGCUCACCCUCCCGUGUUCUCCGCCCUUCGCCAGUCCAGAGGGGUGUCAUCCACCUCCGAGGAGGAAGAGGCCCUCACAGAGAAGUUCCUCAAGAUCAACUGCAAGUACAUCACUGGUGCAAUGGGUGCGGUGAGCGGGGUGUUGCUGGUGACACCCAACAACAUCAUGUUCGACCCCCACCGGAUGGAUCCCCUGGUUCAGGCCCACGGGUGCGAGGAGUACGGCAUCAUGUGUCCUCUGGAGGAAGUGCAGUCUGUCGCCGUCUGCAAGGAGAUCACCGACCCCAAGAUCAGAGAGGCUGUGCCUGAUGACCUGGAGCCCCUCCCCACUGAGAGACACCCCUCCCAGAAGGAGCCGGAGCAGCGCCUAAGGGAGCCGGGGGCCAGCGACAGCACGGCCCCCCGCAGCACCGAGGGCUCCUUCUCCGAGGACGUCUUCACCGAGUCGGAGCUGUCCCCCAUCCGUGAGGAGGAGCAGGCGUCUAACGAGGACCUCCGCCUGGACAAGUCCUCAGGCGCCUCCACCGAGUCCGUGCAAACCGUCACCCAGGUGGGGGCCGCCACUGCCGGGUCCCAGUCCCCCGGCAGCGCCCGCGGCUCCGCCAGUCUGCCGAAGACCCCCACAGAGGACAAUCCACCAGACACUGCCCCAAAAAGCCAGUCCCCCAUGGGAUCCAAGCAGCACAGUGUAGAGAAGCCACCAAGCACACCCCCCACCACCACCACCACCACCACCAGCAGCAGCAGCACUAGCCAGGGCCCUAGCAGCAGCAGCACUAGCCAGGCCCCCGGCCCCAGCAGCAGCACCUCUCGCCCAGGGUCCCAAAGCUUAGCCACCCCCGGUGCCACAGACACCGCCUCUGUCUCAGCCAGUCCACAGAGGGAAGCCAACAAGGGGACAGACGUCUCCAAAACAGACACUAAGCAAGGCAAGGAGAAGAAGGUGGAAGGAGAGGAGACACAAAAUGAAGCCACGCAGAACUCUGCAGAGGGUACAGGGUCUGCAGAGAGAAGGAAGCACCCCACUCACAAGUUCCUGUGUCUGCGGGUGGGGAAGCCUAUGAAGAAGACGUUUGUUUCCAACGCCAGCGCCUCCAUGCAGCAGUACGCCCAGCAGGGCAAGAAGCACGAGUACUGGUUCGCUGUGCCGCAGGAGAGGUCAGAACACCUGUAUGUGUUCUUCAUGCAGUGGAGCCCGGACAUGUAUGGUGAGGGGGUCAGGGGGAUGGGACAGGAGCCUGGGUUUAGGGUUGUCAAGAAGAAUGAAGUGACAGAAACAGAUGUGGACGAGCCCAUCACCGACCUCAAUGUCAAGGAGUGGGAGGUAGUGUCUCUGACGGAGUACCACCGUCGGAUCGAUGCUCUAAACAGUGACGAUCUGCGCUCGCUCUGCAAACGACUCCAGAUCACCACCAAGGAGGAGGUGAACUGCAAGCAGGGCACAUCCAUCAAGUCGGAGCUGGAGCCAGAAACGUUCAAACCCAACCUCAGAGAAGCCAGCGAUCUCCUGGAGGCCGACCAGAUAGAGAAGCUCGCCAGGAAUCUCCCACCACGGACCAUUGGGUACCCAUGGACGCUGGCCUUUGGCACAUCAAAGCAUGGCAUGAGCAUCAAGUCUCUGUACAGAGCCAUGCAGGGCCAGGACACCCCCGUGCUCAUGGUGAUUAAGGACAGCGACGGCCAGGUGUUUGGUGCGUUGGCGUCUGAGCCCUUUAAAGUCAGCGAUGGCUUCUAUGGCACCGGGGAGACCUUCCUCUUCACCUUCAAUCCAGAGUUUGAGGUGUUCAAAUGGACAGGAGACAACAUGUUCUUCAUGAAAGGAAAUAUGGACUCUCUAUCUUUUGGUGGAGGAAGGUGAGACUGAAGCUAAUGUAGUGUAACCUGCUAACAUGCUGUCACUGUGUUUAGAGUGCAUGGGAGGGACUUGACUCAAAUACAAAACGGGGAGUUCGGCCUGUGGCUGGACGGAGACCUGUACCACGGCAGGAGCCACUCCUGUAAAACAUUUGGGAACCCCAUGCUGUCGAAGAAGGAGGAUUUCUAUGUUCAGGACAUAGAGAUCUGGGCUUUUGAAUAACAGUGCACCACAGGGAGAGAAAAAAACAAGUCCUGCAACAGGGCAAAGCGAGGAGCCCCUCCUCCUUUAGAACAAUGGCCCCCAACCUGACUGCACAUCACCGGGCUCCGCAGGAGGCCAGCUGCCAGAUGCUUGUUGUGCGUUACUACUGCAGUUAUUACGGAGCUUCUUUUUCUUCGUGAAAAAUGACCUUUGUGUGUAUCUUGUUACAGCCUUGUGCGGCGUCUUUGCAGAGUAGGGGGAGUGUGUGAGUGAGGGAGAGGAGAGAGCCUUUAGGAGCAUUAGAACUCCUCUCCACCUGAAGGUGUUGGCGUUUGAACCGAGAAAAGGACCGCCCUACUCGUCCAGAUCGUGUGUCCGUCACAGAACCUCAAGGAGCCCCCCCCCCCUAGAACUUAGUAGGAUGUUACUCACUGUGCUGUCUCCACAGAGAGAGACCCAGGUAGGCAGACAGAGGCUGAACACAUUCCAUUACUCCUGGUGAUGGUAGUGUCGCAUUUAAAUAAAAUAAAAAAACUCAUCAGCAGCAGGAUAUGAUGACACUUGGCUCAGAGAGGAUUUGCCGUGUAAGGGGGGGUGUUAGGCUUUUUUCCAGUACAGUUUUGGGUUGUCUUCUGAGUAUACUGACUAUAGAGUAUUGUGUAUUGUAGUCCUCCUGUCGUUCACUGUCAUAGCACACCAUCUGAAGCACAUAGCUAUACUCAGAUCACCCCUCGUCGUGCUGUUCUGUUCAGUGGGUGUACUGUUCGUAGACGGUAACGUAUUGCAAUAGAUUUGUGGAAUAUGCAAAAUAACUGUCCUGUGACCUCAAGUACCCGCGAGGUGGGGGGGGGGGGGGGGGGAGGCGCGGCACUUUAGCCGCGGCCCGUCGCUCUUUCACGAGAGAAACCUGUAGAGAUUUGACGUCUUGAUACACGAUCGCUUUUCCGGGGGGGGGGGGGUGGUCAUUUGAAAAGCCCGCGACAUGGUUAACUGUUUUACAUGCAUAUAUGACAAUUAUUUAUUGGUAUAUAUGAUUAUAUAGGGAUUUAUAUAAUCAUAUAUAUUUUGCUGUUAAGUGUGACAGUGAUCUACUUGUGCUGAUAUUUCAGCUGUUACAAUAUUAUGUAUAUUAUUACCCUGUAAAUUAAUGUUCAAAUAGUAGAUGUGUUCCUAUAUAUAUAUAUAUUUAUAUAUAUAUAUAUAAAUACAUAAUGCUAUAUAAAUAUAUAUAUAUAAUAAAGUGUGGAUUGGUGGGUUGCUUCCAGCACUUUAAUCAGGUGUAAAGCGUCAGGCCAGGUUCCUAUAUUCUCUUAGCAGUAGCUGUACAGUACUUUUUUUGUUUAGAUCAUUAAGAUGUUAACUGUUAGUAGAAGCUUGCUGCUACCAAUAUCAAUAAGGGUAUGCACUAACGCUCUGUGUGUCUAAUAAGGAGGAUUACUCUGAGGCAGGAAGGGGGGGGGGGGGGGGUGGAAGGUUGGUUCUCUGCUGUUGGCUGUCAGGUCGGUGGGUGGAGGUAGGUUUGCAGGCAGGGUGAGGGGGGGGGUGUGUACAGGACGUAUCCUUCCACCCCUUCCUGGUCUUCCACACCAGUAUUUGUGUCCUUGUGGAGCCACAAAGAAUAAUAUGGAUAAUUCUUCCGAUCAUUUCACCAGAUUACAAUGUAUCAGUGAUGUAUAAAUAACAAUAAAGCUGAAUUAAUUGUUGUAA